rnacentral:rRNA from 1 species
GGCUCAGAACGAACGCUGGCGGCGUGGAUAAGACAUGCAAGUCGAACGGGGCAUAUUUUGUAGCAAUACCGAGUAUGUUCAGUGGCGUAAGGGUGCGUAACACGUGAGUCAUCUGCCGGGAAGUGGGGGAUAGCUCGCCGAAAGGCGAAUUAAUACCGCAUGUGGCCGCAAGGCUAAAGCAGCAAUGCGCUUUCUGAUGAGCUCGCGGCCUAUCAGCUAGUUGGUGAGGUAACGGCUCACCAAGGCGGUGACGGGUAGCUGUCUGAGAGGACGACCAGCCACACUGGAACUGAGACACGGUCCAGACACCUACGGGUGGCAGCAGUCGAGAAUUUUUCUCAAUGGGGGAAACCCUGAAGGAGCGACGCCGCGUGGAGGAUGAAGGUCUUCGGAUUGUAAACUCCUGUCAUCUGGGAACAAAGCCGCAAGGUGUGAUAGUACCAGAAGAGGAAGAGACGGCUAACUCUGUGCCAGCAGCCGCGGUAAUACAGAGGUCUCAAGCGUUGUUCGGAUUCAUUGGGCGUAAAGGGUGCGUAGGCGGUAUGGUAAGUCGGAUGUGAAAUCUUGGGGCUCAACCCCAAAACUGCAUUCGAUACUGCUGUACUUGAAGACUGAAGAGGAGAUUGGAAUUCACGGUGUAGCAGUGAAAUGCGUAGAUAUCGUGAGGAAGACCAGUGGCGAAAGCGAAUCUCUGGGCAGAUCUUGACGCUGAUGCACGAAGGCCAGGGGAGCAAACGGGAUUAGAUACCCCGGUAGUCCUGGCAGUAAACGGUGCACGUUUGGUGUAGGAGGAUUCGACCCCUUCUGUGCCGGAGCUAACGCGUUAAACGUGCCGCCUGGG